rnacentral:lncRNA from 1 species
GGACAACCCACACUGCUCUCGGGGCGCGUGGAUGCUGAGCUUCAUUGAACCUAUCGGUUUGGGCAUGGAGCACAUUAUCAUCAUUUUCAAAACUCCCUUUGGAUAAAAGGUUCACAUCUGGCAAAAUGAAAGAACUGUGAUGACUGUAUCAUUUUUAAGAGGGAACAAUAAUGUAAAAUUUAAGACAAUUUUAAGGGGUAUCAUAGCCCUGCCGUACGCCGGAGGGGUGCAGUGAACUAAGGCUUUGCGUGUGCUGAGGACAGGAUUACCUUGUUGAGAUCCUCGCAUGCAUAUAUGAUCACAGCCCAGGAGGGCAGCACAGCCAGGCAGCAGGUGAGGGCAGCCCAGGGCUUGGGAGAUUCCUACAUUUCAGGAUGGCUUUGGUGUUUGCAGGUCACAUAUAAUUUAAUGUUUUCAGUUACACUGUAUCAACUUUAAAAAUAAUUCGGUGAGGGAAGGAACCUCGAUCUUGGCAUCCUGGGGUUCUGGGUUCUGCCCUCUGUCCUGGCAUCCCGAAGGGUCUGAUGAUGUUUGCUGGGUGUGUGGCAGCUCCAGGGCUCGGCUGCCUCUUUUUGGUUAUUUGGUUUCUUGUUCCUCCCAGUGACUGAAAACCCCUCCCUCCCUGGCUUUUUAUAGAAGCUCAGAAAAGAGCUUAUUCUGUGACUGCAUCCGGACCUUGAGUUCUUUGGCUCUUGUGUGAGUGGAUGGUGACACCAGGCCAGCUGGGGAUUCUUCCCAGGCUGGGCUCACAGGCUGGGGCUGGGCACACGGAGCAGCUGCGGGAAAAGGAUCUGGACACCAGCCCCCCCAGCGUGUCACCUGCAGGAAGGUGAGGUGGGAACAGAGUGACGUCCAGGCAUGUUCAAGACAAGGUUUCCCUACGUUGCCCAGACUGGUCUUGAACUCCUAGCCUCAAGCAGUCCUUCUGCCUCAGCCUCCCAAUGUGCUGGGAUUAAAGGCAUGAGCCACUGCACCUGACCAAGGACUAAGCCAGUGGAUCACAAACAUCCUGGAGAGCAGUGACCCUGUGAUUCCAUCACAAGAAUAUGAAGGACUGAGAAGAUCUCCAGCUCUGCCCAUUGCACCUUCCCAUUGAGAAGCAGCAUGGCACCCUGGUGGCAGGGGCUGAUACUCAGCCGGGCCAGGGUGCUCUCCUGUUAACCAUAACCAAGCUCACAGGACAUGGGAUGAGCCCACUGUGUGACACAGGGAGCGGGACACAGUCUGUUAAGUCUUGCACAGCCACGCUCUGCCACGCAGGCAGGCCUUUCCUUGGCCUCCCUCUCCCUGCUCGUGCUCAUGUGAACAUCCACCUACGUGGAUAGACGGUUUGGGCUUUGGUUCAUUAUUGCUCUGUGAAUUCCUUGAACUUCCGCAUCUGCCCAACCUCCCCCACCCCAUUGUUUUCAUUGUGUUUCACCAAAUGGAAAUUCUAGAGUAAGCAUGUAAGUCCUCUCCCAAACUUGUUCACUGUUGAGAGUGCUAAAAUGCUAACCCCAGAUGCUAACUGAGGGGUAGGGUUACUUUAUCUUUAGAGCACUGCGAAUUGUAUGUUAAGUGGAACUUAAUGAAAAAAUAGUUAAUUGACCAACAUGAAUAUCCCCUGAACAGAAUCUCCCUGAACAGAAUCCUACAAUGAAACUAAGGGAGAUAAAUAAAGCUGUUUACCUGAAAGCUCUCUCUAAUCAAGAUCCUUUGAAAUUUAUAAAAUAUGGUCAAUAUUUGCACUGGACUUUGUAAAAAUAAAGCUUGAUAAGAGAAG